CUCCUCGUAGUUCAAUGGAUAGAACGAGUGCCUCCUAAGCGCUAGAUACAGGUUCGAUUCCUGUCGGGGGGACCA
rnacentral:tRNA from 2 species